UACGGAGAGUGCAAGCAUUAAUCGGAAUUAUUGGGCGUAAAGGGCGCGUAGGCGGGAUAGUAAGUCAGAUGUGAAAUUCCAAAGCUCAACUUUGGAGCUGCAUUUGAAACUGCAAUUCUUGAGGAUUGGCGGAGAAAACGGAAUUCCACGUGUAGCGGUGAAAUGCGUAGAUAUGUGGAAGAACACCUGUGGCGAAAGCGGUUUUCUAGCUUAUACCUGACGCUGAGGCGCGAGAGCAAGGGGAGCAAACAGG
rnacentral:rRNA from 1 species